AGCUGCUCUUUUUGCACAGACCAGAUGCAGUAGUACCAUAAGGAAAAAGAAAAUGCUGCCUCUUCCUUUUGUUCUGAGCACCCUGUGACAUCCUCCGAUUGACUGAGCUGUUGCUUGCUGCUUGCUGUGUGCAUCUGUCUGGAAAUGUGUCUGGUGCUUUUUCUAACUGUGCCAAGUGACUGCAGGUAAGAGAGAGCAACAGCCUUGCAGUGAAGGCCAGUGAGAUCCAAAGGCCACCGCAUUCCUGCUGUCACGAUGACGGUACUUAGUCACCCCAUUUGCUGUCGAGCUGCGGGAAGGAGCCUGUAGCACCGAGGAGAGGGGACAGCGAGUGCUUUCCCAGGGACUAGAGGCUACGUGCCCUGCUCCAGCCCUACUGGGGUCACUGCUGGAGAUAAGCUGGCACGCACUGGUGCAGCAGGGCACCGUCGAGCACAGUAAAAGAAGCAGCUUCCAGUGGUUCAGAAAGGAUAUAAGCAGAGCACCAUGCAUGAAAAUUGCUUUACAGAUGCAGGUGACUGUGCAAGAUACACCAGUGGUCGCAGGAUGUACAGCUCUUCCCACAGAUGUGUGCAGCAGCCACAGUGCUUUGCCUGCACGAGCAGGGCUGGAGCCCAGGC